AGAGUUUGAUCCUGGCUCAGGACUAACGCUGGCGGCGUGCCUAACACAUGCAAGUCGUGCGGGGUAUGAGGGCUUGCUCUCAUACCUAGCGGCAGACGGGUGAGUAACGCGUAAAUAACCUGCCCUAUCGCUGGGGAUAAGCCAUCGAAAGGUGGUCUAAUACCGAAUAAGUGUAACGGGAGAGAUACCGAGAUAUAAAAGCUGAAAAGCGUGAUAGGAGGGGUUUGCGUCCCAUUAGCUAGUUGGCGGGGUAAAAGCCCACCAAGGCGACGAUGGGUAGCUGGUCUGAGAGGAUGGUCAGCCACACUGGAACUGAGAUACGGUCCAGACUCCUACGGGAGGCAGCAGUGAGGAAUAUUGCGCAAUGGCCGAAAGGCUGACGCAGCGACGCCGCGUGGGGGAAGACGGCCCUUGGGUUGUAAACCCCUGUCAGUGGGGAAGAAAAACAUGACGGUACCCACAGAGGAAGCCCCGGCUAACUACGUGCCAGCAGCCGCGGUAAGACGUAGGGGGCGAGCGUUGUUCGGAAUUACUGGGCGUAAAGAGCUCGUAGGCUGGAGGAUAAGUCUUGCAAUAAAACCCGCAGCUCAACUGCGGACAAUUGUGAGAUACUGUUUUACUUGAGAACAGGAGAGGGGAGCGGAAUUCCUAGUGUAGCGGUGAAAUGCGUAGAUAUUAGGAGGAACACCAGUGGCGAAGGCGGCUCUCUGGCCUGUUUCUGACGCUGAGGAGCGAAAGCUGGGGGAGCGAACGGGAUUAGAUACCCCGGUAGUCCCAGCUGUAAACGAUGGAUACUAGGUGUAGGAGGUAUCGACCCCUUCUGUGCCGCAGUUAACACAUUAAGUAUCCCGCCUGGGGAGUACGGCCGCAAGGUUAAAACUCAAAGGAAUUGACGGGGGCCCGCACAAGCGGUGGAGCAUGUGGUUUAAUUCGACCAACGCGAAGAACCUUACCUGGACUUGACAUCCCUUGCCCGCGUAUGAAAGUACGUUUUCUAUGCCUUCGGGUAUAGACAAGGAGACAGGUGCUGCAUGGCUGUCGUCAGCUCGUGUCGUGAGAUGUUGGGUUAAGUCCCGCAACGAGCGCAACCCUUAUUCUUAGUUGCCAACAGUUAGGCUGGGGACUCUAAGGAGACUGCCGGUAAAAAGCCGGAGGAAGGUGGGGAUGACGUCAAGUCAGCAUGGCCCUUACGUCCAGGGCUACACACGUGCUACAAUGGGGUGUACAGAGGGUCGCAAUACAGCGAUGUGGAGCCAAUCCCUAAAACACCCCUCAGUUCGGAUCGGAGGCUGCAACCUGCCUCCGUGAAGCCGGAAUCGCUAGUAACCGCAGAUCAGCAAUGCUGCGGUGAAUACGUUCCCGGGCCUUGUACACACCGCCCGUCACGUCACCCGAGUCUAUUGCACCCGAAGUCACUGAUCUAACCUGUCAAAAGGAGGAAGGUGCCGAAGGUGUGGUCGGUAAGGGGGACGAAGUCGUAACAAGGUA
rnacentral:rRNA from 1 species